GAUUUCAACUGAAAAAGUCAUCAACAACAAAAUUGUAUAACUCAUCAAGACCUAUAACUUUUAUUUUGGUCAUUUCUUCAUCCAACAAAGUGAUAGUAACAUUGUUCAUAAAAUUUACAUAUAUCUCAUUUGGUUUUAUAAACUAUAAGAGAGAUAUGUAAAUUUUGUGAACAUUAUUACUAUCGCUUUGUCGGAUGAAGAAAUAACCAAAAUAAAAGUUGUAUGUCUUGAUGAGUUCUACAACUUUUAUGUUCAUGACUUUUUCAGCUUAAAUU
rfam:Oryza glaberrima chromosome 4 Oglab04_0283_4, whole genome shotgun sequence.